rnacentral:miRNA from 10 species
UUUCCAUAUAUUAGGUUGGUGCAAAAGUAAUUGCGGUUUUUGCCGAUUACUUUUAAUGGCAAAACCGGAGUUAGUUUUGCACCAACUGAAUAC